UCAAACGUCGAACUUUUCAUGUGCCAAACCUAAUGUUAAUGAGCUAAUUAUAUAUAAGUUCUUUGUUUCACUUCAUUUGCAUUAGGUUCGGCACAUGAAAAGUUCGACGUUUGACC